CUCCGAAGCUCAGCAGGCCCCUCCCCUCCCCUCCGCUGUCUGCCCGGCCGGCUGGGCCGAGCCUCCUUCACGCUCCCAUGAGGACCUCCCCUGUCAGCCUUUGUCGUCACCUGCCACGCCUCUCGGGACCACCACAGAUCACGGACACAAUUGAAAACACUGGUUAUAUUACCAAGGCUUUGACUGGAAUGUCAUGUUUGAGAGAGACGUGCAUAGACUCAGAUAUGACCAGACAGCUAUAAGGAACUAAAGUUGACUUUAUGGAACCAACAAAGCCCCUUGGAAGAACUGGCCUGACAUCUUGCUUACAGGGUUCCCAGCAGCCUGACCAGACUACAGUCUUUCAAGAUUAGAGUCCUAUUGUCAUGAAUAUUUAAGCCUCUACCAACUGAUAAAAUAGCUGACUUACUGAGACCCCAGGAUGAGCACCCUCACUGCACCAUCCUGACAGUCAGCAAGCAGAGGGACCCAGAAGGACUGCCCCUCACCAGCAGGAAGCAGCCAGGGCGGGCAUCACCCCUCAGCCCAGUGACCUGGGUCCUGACUGCUUGGGGGUGGAAUAUGAGGCGAAAGACCAACAUGAGUGGGAGGAAAAGAGGGUGGGGCCCACCAAGAACUCAGGGAGUUAAUCAGAUAAAGCCAGAAAGCCAGAGAUAAUGCAGAAGAUGAAUUAAAUAAAGCCACAGGGACUGAGAGUGACUUGAAGGGCAGUUACUCCCCACAUAACAACAACAAAAAAUCCCCAGAUGAAAACAUCACAGCACAGGCCCAUGUCUUCAAUCCUCCAAUCAGAUCAAGCCCUCAAGACCAAAGAAUGUCAAUCAAGAACUUCUCUACCUUGCCAAAAAAACCCAUAAAAGAAGCCUUCGGGUAAGCAGCCUGCCUUGGUCUACCUUGACUCUGGCCUGCUCCUUCCUUGGGGUGUAAUCAAAUAAACCUGCCUUUCGUCUACCUUGACUCUGGUCUGCUUCUCUGGAGAAUAUUCUAAUAAAACUUUCAUUCUGCUUCA